rnacentral:rRNA from 1 species
CAGUAGCGUAUAUUAAAGUUGUUGCAGUUAAAAAGCUCGUAGUUGGAUUUCUGGCGUGGCAGAGCUAGCCUGGCUUCUAAAGUCUCGUGCUGGUCUCUGUCUGCCAUCCUUCCAGAGAACGAUAGUUUCCUUCAUUGGUGACUAUUGCAAUCUGGAACUUUACUUUGAAAAAAUUAGAGUGUUCAAAGCAGGCAUUUCGCUAUGAAUACAUUAGCAUGGAAUAAUAAUUUAGGACUUUGGUUCUAUUUUGUUGGUUCUAGGACCGAAGUAAUGAUUGAUAGGAUAGUUGGGGGUGCUAGUACUCAGCGGCCAGAGGUGAAAUUCUUGGAUUCGCUGAAGACUAACUUAUGCGAAAGCAUUCACCAAGGAUGUCUUCUUUAAUCAAGAACGAAAGUUGGGGAUCGAAGAUGAUCAGAUAC